rnacentral:rRNA from 1 species
UACGUAGGGUGCGAGCGUUGUCCGGAAUUAUUGGGCGUAAAGAGCUCGUAGGCGGUUUGUCGCGUCGGCCGUGAAAACUUGGGGCUUAACCCCGAGCCUGCGGUCGAUACGGGCAGACUUGAGUUCGGCAGGGGAGACUGGAAUUCCUGGUGUAGCGGUGAAAUGCGCAGAUAUCAGGAAGAACACCUAUGGCGAAGGCAGCACUCUGGGACGGUACUGACGCUGAGACGCGAAAGCGUGGGGAGCGAACAGG